rnacentral:tRNA from 2 species
UCGUAGCUCAAUUGGAUAGAGCAUCUGACUACGGAUCAGAAGGUUGUGAGUUCGAAUCCCGCCGAGU